AGCUGUCUGGCCUAUUGUUUUUUAACACCCAGUAUGAAAUGGCGUGUAUAGAAAUUGUCAUGUUAAGUGUAUCCAGGGUGUACUACAAAAUCAUAAGCUAAAAAUAAAGGGAAAAAAAAGAAGGCACAGCAGCUCAUGUUUGCUGUGAGUGCAGUUUCUGGGCAUACUGCUACAGUAUUUCUGGAACAUCGUUUCCAAAACUGCUUCCCCCCUUUUUAAUGAACUACCUGAAGGUUAACAUGAGCGUGUCAUAUUGCCCGUCCACAUGGCUGCCGGCUCCUUGUGCUUUCCUCACUAAACUGAUUUAAUUAAGCAGAAUUGUUCCCUCGCCUCCCCUGCAGCGCUUCAGUCCCACAAAGUUUCUUCAAAGAAACCCCCAGCCUGGAACUGGUGCGGCUCUGCAGAGGGAAACGCCGCACUGUACUUCAAAGCGGAGAAAAUCUGCAGCUGCCGGGAGCCCGCCUGCCCCAGGAGGUGUCACUGUUGGGACUGGCAGGGUGAGCUCCGGAGCUGCUGUUUGUUUUCUAAAGCCUGCUUUGACCGUGAGGUAUGUAGUUCAGCCAUGCCAAAGACUCCACAGUCUGCACUGAGCUACAAAACCAGGUCCUGAUGCAGAAGCUAGGAGGUCUUGCUCAUCUUCUUUUUGUGCUGAUGGCACUAUGAUUCUGCCACAGAAUCACAGGUGUUGGAUGGGACCUCCAGAGAUCAUCAAGUUGAGUAGGUAUUACCUCAGUUUCUCUGUCUAGAGCAGGAGUUUUAGAAUUUAUGAAACAUUCAUGACACUUUUUGGGACUCCUGUGCAAAGGGCAAAUUUAGUGAUGUGAAAUGCUUUCUUUCUGUGGAGGAAGCUUAAAUGGAAGAAAGAGUGAGUGAUGUUAAUGUCCAGCCAGUUUUAUGUGUAAAUUUUAUUUUUAUGUUUCCUCCUUCUGUCUCUGCAGUGGUAAUUCUGAGCAAGUUGUCACCUUGACAUCACUGGGACAGUUAAGUGCUACUCAAUGUGAGAAAGGGAUGCAGAAUUAGGCCUCGGUUAGGAAAUGUUUUAGGGCCAUCAAAAGCCUGACCCCUUCUUUGCCUUCAAAGGACAUGUUGCUAAGUAUUAUUAGACUGUUCAAACUGGGACACUCAUAAUAGUGCUGGGAGCAGAAAGUGCUCAGCUUCAAUAGACAUUUUGCAUCGGUAAGGUCUCCAGGAGCAAGCGAGCAUCCUUUGAGCUUCCCACGUGCUGUUGGGAAUAAGUGGGCAAAGGUGCCUGCGAGUCUUUAGGUGCACAGAACUGUUCAUCAAGGCCUGGAUGCCAAUACCCUUCCUUGCACUGAGAAGCAACUGUGUUACAUAAGGUGGUUUAUUUUUUUAAUGUGAAGUAAAGCCUGAAAGUGUCAGUCCUGUCAGUUGGUGGGUGCCUUCAGCAUCCAUUAAAGUGAGUAGGAACAGAGGGCAUUUGCCCCUGGUUGGCAAGUGUAGACCUUUAAUGUUAAACAGAGAAAUUAU
rnacentral:lncRNA from 1 species